GUGUAAUAUCCUCCCCCUGCUAAGCCUCCCAGUUACUAACUUUUCUGUUUUCUCCAAGCUGGCCUCUUGAGAAUUCAGUUGCCUGUGGUGCCUUGUUGUAGUAAAUUAGAGCUAACUGGUGGGAAGUGGCUACUGCUCGCACACAACAUCUCUGGAAGUCUCCAACAGGAUCUGGGAGACUGGAAGACAUAGCUACAAGCAAGAAGGAGAUCAGGAGCUCAUUUUCCUCCAGGACCUCUAUCUGCUGAAGACUAGAAUGGCUGCUUGCGGGUCAUGUUUCUGGGGCAUCAUCUGGCUGGUGGUUCUGAUAUGCUUCGGCUGGCCCCUCGGCAUCACCUUAGGGGGUCUCUAUGGUCUCCUUAGCCCCCUCACCACCUGCCUCGGCAUGACCCGAAUCUCCGAUCUACUCCUGGAGGGGGCCAACCUGGGCAGAACCUGUGCCAACAACAUGAGGCACGGCAAGGCUUUGUGUUGAUCACACUGCAAGAUCAGAGAAAGGAUGCAAGAUUGUUUCUACAGAGGAAAGCCUUUGCCUUAAGGAGAACUGUUCAUGUCUGUUUUAUGUGGAGAUAUCCUGAGAUGAGUGGCACUCAAUACAGUGAGAAACUUUUUAGCAAGUUAUGUAACAAAAAGGUCUGGAAGGUUUUGGAAAAUGGAUUCCACUUGUUCUGUUAACAUGUAAUUAACCACGGAUUUCAAAUUUGUAUGGGUUUGUCGGGAAGAAAAUAGGCUUUCUGUUCAUGGUCUGUGUUUGCUGUUUAAUUCAUGAUGACACUGCAUGGAGAAGAUAAGAAUGAAAAUGGCAAUUUAACAAUGGAAAUGCUUAGACUUGUGAAUGACUGUAUGGAAACUUUUAAUGCGAUUAAAACUGCUUUGAACUUG